rnacentral:misc_RNA from 1 species
GGCGCAAGAUGGAUUCAGAAUAGGAGAGCUUAAAAGGGCUCGUUUGCGACAAAAGUUACUACUUGCAGGGAGUUCCUUCAUCUCAAUUCAAGAAUGGUUGAAGUUGAGAACCAUUCGUCUCCUCCUUCUGAUCCGGCUCCAACAGAUCCAACAACCCCACAUCCUCAAACUGGGUUCAAUCCCAGCAGAAUGAUUGGUAUCAUCAGAAGGAAGGCCAUGAUAAAAGACUUAGCUGCUAUAUACCAUGCAGAAUGCCUUGCAUAUUGUCAAGAACUUUUGGAACUUCAAAAAAAAGCAGAAGAGUCAUUAAUUGAAAUGAAAGCUGCAGAAGAGUCAAGGAGAGAAACAAUGAGGCCCCCAAAACGUAUGAAGAAAGCCCGUUAGCACCUAAUGUAAGAUAUGUUCGCAAUCUAUUCUAUGCGUUCUUGAAAGAUUCUCUCGGCCUUUUAGCAUUGGCAACCUGGAAAUUGUCUUUUACGGAUUAUAGAAAGCUACUAGUUUGUUAAAUCUAAUAGAUACAGCUUACUACUGAAGAUUAAGAUGAAUUAUAUUUUGUUAUAUCACUUUAGAGGUAAAGAGAAGUAUGUUGAUGAAGCAGGAUCAAUCAUAGAAUCCAUGUAAGUUGAGUACAUAUGCUAGUUACAUGAGGACCA